AAUCAAGAAGUAAUUAAUUACAUCUAGUUUCGACCUAGAAAUAAGGUACCGAUAAAUAAAAUACCCUUGUUUU
rnacentral:tRNA from 1 species